GACGAACGCUGGCGGCGUGCUUAACACAUGCAAGUCGAACGGUAAGGCCCUUCGGGGUACACGAGUGGCGAACGGGUGAGUAACACGUGGGUGAUCUGCCCUGCACUUCGGGAUAAGCCUGGGAAACUGGGUCUAAUACCGGAUAGGACUCCGGACUGCAUGGUCUGGGGUGGAAAGCUUUUGCGGUGUGGGAUGGGCCCGCGGCCUAUCAGCUUGGUGGUGGGGUGAUGGCCUACCAAGGCGACGACGGGUAGCCGGCCUGGGAGGGUGACCGGCCAAACUGGGACGGAGAUACGGCCCAGACUCCUACGGGGGGCAGCAGUGGGGAAUAUUGCACAAUGGGCGCAAGCCUGAGGCAGCGACGCCGCGUGAGGGAUGACGGCCUUCGGGUUGUAAACCUCUUUCAGCAUCGACGAAGCGAAAGUGACGGUAGGUGCAGAAGAAGGACCGGCCAACUACGUGCCAGCCGCCGCCGUAA
rnacentral:rRNA from 1 species